rnacentral:rRNA from 1 species
ACAACAGGGAUUGCCCUAGUAACGGCGAGUGAAGCGGCAACAGCUCAAAUUUGAAAUCUGACUUUCGGGUCCGAGUUGUAAUUUGUAGAGGAUGCUUUUGGUGCGGUACCUUACGAGUUCCCUGGAACGGGACGCCUUAGAGGGUGAGAGCCCCGUACGUUUGAAUACCAAUCCUCUGUAAAGCUCCUUCGACGAGUCGAGUAGUUUGGGAAUGCUGCUCUAAAUGGGAGGUAAAUUUCUUCUAAAGCUAAAUACCGGCCAGAGACCGAUAGCGCACAAGUAGAGUGAUCGAAAGAUGAAAAGCACUUUGAAAAGAGGGUUAAAUAGCACGUGAAAUUGUUGAAAGGGAAGCGUUUAUGACCAGACUUUUUCUUAGCGGAUCAUCCGGUGUUCUCCACCGGUGCACUUCGUUAGGUUUAGGCCAGCAUCGGUUUUCGUAGAGGGAUAAAAGCAGCGGUAAUGUGGCCCCCUCCGGGGGGUGUUAUAGACCGUUGUAUAAUACCUUUAUGGGGACCGAGGUUCGCGCAUCUGCAAGGAUGCUGGCGUAAUGGUCAUCAGCGACCCGUCUUGAAACACGGACCAAGGAGUCGAACAUUUGUGCAAGUAUUUGGGUGUUAAACCCUCAUGCGUAAUGAAAGUGAACGGAGGUGGGAGCCUUAGGGUGCACCAUCGACCGAUCCUGAUGUUUUCGGAUGGAUUUGAGUAAGAGCAUAACUGUUCGGACCCGAAAGAUGGUGAACUAUGCGUGGAUAGGGUGAAGCCAGAGGAAACUCUGGUGGAGGCUCGCAGCGGUUCUGACGUGCAAAUCGAUCGUCAAAUCUGCGCAUGGGGGCGAAAGACUAAUCGAACCAUUAACACCAGCGGUAAAUUUGAUUUACUAGGUGGUUAAGAGGUGGCCCGAGAGGGCUGGAAAUACAACCUAGGUCGGACUGAGCUACCCUGUAGCGAGGUUGCGGCCGACACUGCUAAAUUGCGGGGACCUCCUUUCAAACGGUUGUAGGCUACCGCGGCGCGCUGAAAAGCGUGGCCGCACCAAGGAUAACGACCUUGGGUAUGGUAAUAACGCCUGCGACUUGGAAGACCUGCAGCCAACCCCUUAAAAGGGGAGAGUUCACAGACUAAACAGCAGUGGGUCGGUUACCCUGUAGCCGGUCUAAGACAUAGUCGAUCCAGGCCCUGAAAAGGUGUCUAACUAGAAAACUAAUA